rnacentral:rRNA from 1 species
UACGGAGGGUGCGAGCGUUGUCCGGAAUCAUUGGGCGUAAAGGGCGCGUAGGUGGCCCGGUCAGUCCGUGGUGAAAGCGCGGGGCUCAACCCUGCGUCGGCCAUGGAUACUGCCGCGGCUCGAGCACUGUAGAGGCAGGCGGAAUUCCGGGUGUAGCGGUGGAAUGCGUAGAGGAUCCGGAAGAACACCGGUGGCGAAGGCGGCCUGACUGG